GCAAGUGAUACCGUUUUUGCUCUGGUAUUAUCAAUCCUCAGUUCGUCUUGUAUGCCCAAGUUAGCCAUUCGGUAUAUCAGACCCUAAUUCAGCUGGACAGCAUAGCGGCUGCUAAAGAUAGUUAAGCAAAGGUCACAUCCUCGUUCUUUGAAUACCCUUUCACAUUCUGCCUUUGGUAGAGGAUAAUAUGGUUUCAAAGAGAUUGAAGAAGAAUAAUACCUAUGAGAUGCUCGCGCAGAGAUUCAAAAGAACGGCAAUGCUUUUGACAAAUACCGCAAACAGAUUUUCUGAAGACUCGUAUCUGCUGUCCAUGACUGGAAUGAGUUCUACUUCUACUGAAACGAAACCUACUCUGAGAGGUGGGAAGGAAAAGAAAUGCACACUGGCAAAUAAAUGGAAAUUCGGAGAUUCACCUGCUAUAGUACCACAAAAAAAAACAGGCUAACGUAACAUUCGUGGCAAUCUAAAUGCUCGUGGGGCCCACAUUUGAAAUGCUAGAAUCUUCCGAAAUCUCUCACAUUUGGAGUUUGGCAAAGUGGUGCUUGGUUGUUCAUAUAGUUUUUUUUUAUCUUAUAUCCUUUCGGCAAAGCAAUGAAGGCGGGCAGGCGAUAAAGGUAUUCGAUCAGCGGAUCGCAGGUACACUCUCUCUCACUCUCUCUUAUUUAACAGAAAUUCUACUUAGAGCUUCUAUUCCCAACAUAGGAAAAUCCCGUGUGAGUUUGACCUAGGAAUUAUCUUUUGACUGAAGUAGGGCCAACAUAUUCAGAUACCCUUUGGGAAAAGCAUCACUAGAAUAUAAGGGCUUUUUGUUUGUUUUGGGUGAUAAUGUAAUAGCCCCACACGAGUGAAACCAAAAAUUCAAAUCGUAAAUUUUCCUAUAUAAUUCCGUUAUUUUCUAAAAUAUCUCUACGUAAUCCUAAAAAGAUCUAAAUACAGAUAUUGAAUAUAUUUUUUCUAUACCUCUCCCAAUAGUUAUAUCAGGAAUACAUGUAUAGCAGUUCAAAAUCUUACUAGACACGGUCGAAAAAUUCUUUCGAAAAAAUCAUAUAUAUUUCCCAUUUCUCAAUGUGCCGAGCCCCUAUCGUAUAUAUUUACCGUUGUAGAUUGAAAUAACAAAUGUAAAUCAACCUGCCUAAUUACGAAAUAGAAAUUAUUCUAAAUUCUUAAGUUCCAUGACAACGUCCACGUGUAUUCAUAUGGAAACCUAGUCUUUGAUUGAGAGAAACUUAACUAUCUUAGUGUGAAGAUGAAUGCAUAUGCAUAUGCAUCUCUUUUUUUGCAUCCAGCUCGUACUAACAGCAAAAAGGAAACGCAUACGAUUCUUCAAACCUCAAAACGGUCAAAAGGAUAUAGGUUUGCACGUGUGACGUGUGUGUAGGGACUGAUGGAAAGUUGUUUGUUUUUUCCACCAUGGCCUGUAUAUUCUGCUGCCUUCUUUUUAUUUCUUACAAAUUUCUUAUGGAGAAUAUGCCUUGUGUUAGUUAACCCUAGUCUAGAUCUAUAGGUUAGUUGUAGCAUUACAAUUGGAAGAAUAAAUUUUGAAAAAGAAAUAUAUAUGAAGAAUGAUAAUAUCCCAUAAAUGAUUUAUCAUACAUAUAUGUAGAAGCAUGGUUUUGUAGAACCGACACCCUGUGAAAUACACUAUGUAAUUUUACACCAUUGAUCUUUAUAUCGUAACACACACUCACGUGUACUGUGUGCUUAGUGGAUACUUAGUUACGUAGAUCUACGGUUUAAAAUCAGCUGGUGUUAGAACCGUUUCACAACAAGAUUAGAUUUUAUCUUUUAUUUUCGCACGCUUCUCAUGAAAUCUGUACAUUCUAUAAAUUGGUCAUGGAUGGAGACAUGAUUCAGAAAAUUCAUUCCGGUCAAAAUCUUGACCAUGUUGCUUUUUAUUUUUUCAUGUGUACUAUAUACUCUUGAAUUUACACACAUUAGCCACAAGUAAAGUCAAACUGAAUAAAUAAAAGUUAUACCCUUUUUUUUC